GAUUACACAAACGCGUGCGUUUUUGCGUGCUCAAUUUCUGGACCUUAGCGAGCGGAGAGCUCACCGAAGCGACACACGAGAGACCAACGACGUGCUCUGCUAGGAAAAGGCAAGUGAUGACGCCCGGCGUUAUGCGGCUUUUUUUUUUGUCAAUUGAAUCAUCCCCUCUCUUUUUUUUUGUAAAGUGACCGUGGGGGAUCAAAAUCCGGACUACGCUACUGUUGACCUCAAUUAAUUUACUACAAGUACAAUUUAUAGAAUUUCAAUUGAUGGGAAGUUUCUCUGAUACGAAAGUUCUGACAGUUGUGGCCCGCAUGUUCGGUGCACAAGUAAGACUUCUAACGAGACAGGUCGGGUCC
rnacentral:lncRNA from 1 species